rnacentral:rRNA from 1 species
GUCGAGCGGUAGAGAGGUGCUUGCACCUCUUGAGAGCGGCGGACGGGUGAGUAAAGCCUAGGAAUCUGCCUGGUAGUGGGGGAUAACGCUCGGAAACGGACGCUAAUACCGCAUACGUCCUACGGGAGAAAGCAGGGGACCUUCGGGCCUUGCGCUAUCAGAUGAGCCUAGGUCGGAUUAGCUAGUUGGUGAGGUAAUGGCUCACCAAGGCGACGAUCCGUAACUGGUCUGAGAGGAUGAUCAGUCACACUGGAACUGAGACACGGUCCAGACUCCUACGGGAGGCAGCAGUGGGGAAUAUUGGACAAUGGGCGAAAGCCUGAUCCAGCCAUGCCGCGUGUGUGAAGAAGGUCUUCGGAUUGUAAAGCACUUUAAGUUGGGAGGAAGGGCAUUAACCUAAUACGUUAGUGUUUUGACGUUACCGACAGAAUAAGCACCGGCUAACUCUGUGCCAGCAGCCGCGGUAAUACAGAGGGUGCAAGCGUUAAUCGGAAUUACUGGGCGUAAAGCGCGCGUAGGUGGUUCGUUAAGUUGGAUGUGAAAUCCCCGGGCUCAACCUGGGAACUGCAUUCAAAACUGUCGAGCUAGAGUAUGGUAGAGGGUGGUGGAAUUUCCUGUGUAGCGGUGAAAU